UGACUGCGGGCCAGACACCCCCGGUUCUCCACGAUGAAGGCUGCGCUUGGGGCUCCCCUUACCCUGCUUCUCAAGGAGGUUGUGAGGGUGGCUGGUGGUGGCUGUGUUACUGUCAUGGAGGGAAUGAGAGAGGACUGAGUGCACUGACAAAAUGGAGUUUCUGGGCUGGCAGAGCUGAGAGCUGGAGAACCCAGCCUGGGAUGACCUCACCAAGAUCCUGCUGCUCUGGGACGCCCUCUCUGAGCAAUCAGUCAACACCCUCUUCUCC